UACGUAGGGCGCGAGCGUUGUCCGGAUUUAUUGGGCGUAAAGAGCUCGUAGGCGGCUUGUCGCGUCGUCCGUGAAAACCUGCGGCUCAACUGCAGGCUGGCGGUCGAUACGGGCAGGCUGGAGUUCGGUAGGGGAGUCUGGAAUUCCUGGUGUAGCGGUGAAAUGCGCAGAUAUCAGGAGGAACACCGGUGGCGAAGGCGGGACUCUGGGCCGAUACUGACGCUGAGGAGCGAAAGCGUGGGGAGCAAACAGG
rnacentral:rRNA from 1 species